UUAGGUGCAGUUUAGUUCCCCCACAUUAGGUGCAGUACAGUUCCUCCACAUUAGGUGCAGUACAGUUCCCCCACAUUAGGUACAGUACAGUUCCCCCACAUUAGGUUGACAGUAUAGUUCCCCACAUUAGGUGCAGUAUAGUUCCCCACAUUAGGUUGGCAGUAUAGUUCCCCACAUUAGGUGCAGUAUAGUUCCCCCACAUUAGGUGCAGUACAGUUCCCCCACAUUAGGUGCAGUACAGUUCCCCCACAUUAGGUACAGUACAGUUCCCCCACAUUAGGUUGACAGUAUAGUUCCCCACAUUAGGUGCAGUAUAGUUCCCCACAUAAGGUUGGCAGUAUAGUUCCCCCACAUUAGGUGCAGUACAGUUCCCCCACAUUAGGUGCAGUACAGUUCCCCCACAUUAGGUACAGUACAGUUCCCCCACAUUAGGUUGACAGUAUAGUUCCCCACAUUAGGUGCAGUAUAGUUCCCCACAUUAGGUUGGCAGUAUAGUUCCCCACAUUAGGUGCAGUUUAGUUCCCCCACAUUAGGUGCAGUACAGUUCCUCCACAUUAGGUGCAGUACAGUUCCCCCACAUUAGGUACAGUACAGUUCCCCCACAUUAGGUUGACAGUAUAGUUCCCCACAUUAGGUGCAGUAUAGUUCCCCACAUUAGGUUGGCAGUAUAGUUCCCCACAUUAGGUGCAGUAUAGUUCCCCCACAUUAGGUGCAGUACAGUUCCCCCACAUUAGGUGCAGUACAGUUCCCCCACAUUAGGUACAGUACAGUUCCCCCACAUUAGGUUGACAGUAUAGUUCCCCACAUUAGGUGCAGUAUAGUUCCCCACAUAAGGUUGGCAGUAUAGUUCCCCCACAUUAGGUGCAGUACAGUUCCCCCACAUUAGGUGCAGUACAGUUCCCCCACAUUAGGUACAGUACAGUUCCCCCACAUUAGGUUGACAGUAUAGUUCCCCACAUUAGGUGCAGUAUAGUUCCCCACAUUAGGUUGGCAGUAUAGUUCCCCACAUUAGGUGCAGUUUAGUUCCCCCACAUUAGGUGCAGUACAGUUCCUCCACAUUAGGUGCAGUACAGUUCCCCCACAUUAGGUACAGUACAGUUCCCCCACAUUAGGUUGACAGUAUAGUUCCCCACAUUAGGUGCAGUAUAGUUCCCCACAUUAGGUUGGCAGUAUAGUUCCCCACAUUAGGUGCAGUAUAGUUCCCCACAUUAGGUGCAGUAUAGUUCCCCCACAUUAGGUGCAGUAUAGUCCCCCACAUUAGGGAAGUAUAGUCCCCCACAUUAGGUGCAGUACAGUUCCCCCACAGACAUUCAGCCUUCAGCCAUAUACAGUGUAUGGCUGGAGGCUGAAUGCCUGUUUACUGCCCCACUUCAGUAUUCCGACAACCACUCCGGCGUCACAAUCUACUGCUAUGGCCUAAGGGCCAUAGCAGUAGGUCCCGGGACCGGAGGUGGGGUGGUCGGAACACUGAAGAUGACGUGCCGCUGGUCACUUACCAUG